AACGAACGCUGGCUGCAGGCCUAACACAUGCAAGUCGAGCGCACCUUCGGGUGAGCGGCGGACGGGUUAGUAACGCGUGGGAACGUACCCAGAUCUAAGGAAUAGCCACUGGAAACGGUGAGUAAUACCUUAUACGCCCUUCGGGGGAAAGAUUUAUCGGAUUUGGAUCGGCCCGCGUUAGAUUAGGUAGUUGGUGGGGUAAUGGCCUACCAAGCCUACGAUCUAUAGCUGGUUUUAGAGGAUGAUCAGCAACACUGGGACUGAGACACGGCCCAGACUCCUACGGGAGGCAGCAGUGGGGAAUCUUAGACAAUGGGGGAAACCCUGAUCUAGCCAUGCCGCGUGAGUGAUGAAGGUCUUAGGAUCGUAAAGCUCUUUCGCCAGGGAUGAUAAUGACAGUACCUGGUAAAGAAACCCCGGCUAACUCCGUGCCAGCAGCCGCGGUAAUACGGAGGGGGUUAGCGUUGUUCGGAAUUACUGGGCGUAAAGCGCGCGUAGGCGGAUCGGAAAGUUGGGGGUGAAAUCCCGGGGCUCAACCCCGGAACUGCCUCCAAAACUAUCGGUCUAGAGUUCGAGAGAGGUGAGUGGAACUCCGAGUGUAGAGGUGAAAUUCGUAGAUAUUCGGAAGAACACCAGUGGCGAAGGCGGCUCACUGGCUCGAUACUGACGCUGAGGUGCGAAAGUGUGGGGAGCAAACAGGAUUAGAUACCCUGGUAGUCCACACCGUAAACGAUGAAUGCCAGUCGUCGGGCAGUAUACUGUUCGGUGACACACCUAACGGAUUAAGCAUUCCGCCUGGGGAGUCCGGUCGCAAGAUUAAAACUCAAAGGAAUUGACGGG
rnacentral:rRNA from 1 species